ensembl:snRNA U2 U2 spliceosomal RNA
AUUGCUUUUUAUUUUUGUGGAUAACAUUAAGUGCAGUAUCUGCUUUUAUCAGAUUAAUAUCUAAUAUAUCCUCUAUCUGAGGACAAUAUACUAAGUAGAUUUUUGGAGUAAGGAGGUGGAAUAGGAGUUGCUUCAACCACUUCACACAUUGACCUGAUCUUGCAGCCUCCAGAAAUGGUGCAUCUCCU